GAUGAAGAACGUAGUGAAAUGCGAUAAGUAAUGUGAAUUGCAGAAUUCAGUGAAUCAUCGAAUCUUUGAACGCACAUUGCGCCCGCCAGUAUUCUGGCGGGCAUGCCUGUUCGAGCGUCAUUUCAACCAUCAAGCCCCCGGCUUGUGUUGGGGACCUGCGGCUGCCGCAGGCCCUGAAAUGCAGUGGCGGGCUCGCUGUCACUCCGAGCGUAGUAGUUACAUCUCGCUCUGGGCGUGCUGCGGGUUCCGGCCGUUAAAAGCCUUAUUUACCCAAGGUUGACCUCGGAUCAGGUAGGAAGACUCGCUGAACUUAAGCAUAUCAAUAAGCGGAGGA
rnacentral:misc_RNA from 1 species